CCAUAACCAAACACGGGAUCCUUCUUUCCCGACAUUUCUGCAUUGAAGAAAUGGGUUUUUCCUUUUUGGUGAGCUCAGAGGACUCUUACCUUGGAAUGUAUGGUACUUUUAAGUCUUUGUGGUAAAUAUAUUUCAUCGGUGAAAGAGAGAGGGCGAACGGGGUUUAUUAAUUGCAUUUAAGAAAUCCAAGGCAUAAAUUAAAAAAACUGUAUGUCGAAACUUGAUUGUGGGCUCAUGCUACUGGCUGGACAUGAAUGGAUGGUGGAUUGGAUCUUAUUUUGUACUAACUUCACAACCAUCCAAUCAUGGUGCACAACUAACAUCUUAGAACAACUGCAAAUGGUGCAGAACCCUUCCCAUGGCUCAUUGGCAAGUAACCAAAUUGUAUUUUAAUUGUUGCAGCUUCCUUCAUCAUUUCAUGACUGUAAUUAAGUAUUACUUUUCAGCAUUCUAGGGGAUUUUGAGAGGUUUCUUAAAAAUAAAAAUAAAAAAACUGAAAAGAACAGUUUAUC